AUGUUCUUCUUUAGCCAGAUACCUGAUGUAUUACUUCAUCAGCAAAUUCAACAAGGCCAAGAUGUCUUCAUUUUCCUUCAGAGCAAGAGCUGUAAGAGCAGUGUGGUGGAAGUAUUGGUCUUCUGUGGCCAGGCGGUUGAGAGCCCAUCGACAGCUGUGAUGAGCAGAGCAGACACGGGAGACAGGAGGCAGCUGAAGCCAAAGAGGACCCACGCCUGGAGCUGUGUCUGUGUGAUUGGAGCAGAGAGAGGCCAGGACCCAAGGAAAUCCCAGCAGCAAGGGAAAAAAACAGAUUGACUCUCAGUGACUCAUUUAGCUCCUGGAUUGGACAGAUCUCUCCCCUGCUGGCAAUUUGGCUGAGCAUCAAUGGACAGAUACCAGGAUGAAUAGCUUAAAAUAAUUAGGGGCUGGGAAUUUGCAAAACUGCUAGCCAUCCAAUUCUUUACUGUGCAAUGUGAGGCAGAAAAAAGAAAUUACAUUUAGGUUAUUAAAUAUUAAGUCAGUGGAUUUACUUCCAUUUGGUGCAGAACAGGAAACUGGCUAAAAUUCAACAUUUAUAUCAUUGUGUUGAUGGUCUGUUUAUCACUGAGCAAGUAAGUGCUUUUUGGCAGGUCAAGCUCUUUGACACAUGGGGCAAAUGCGUGCUUAAUUUCUCCCAAACAGAAGAAUUAAUAUAAUAAUAAUUAACACAGAUGAGAACAGAAUUAAAAUCAAGUACAGUCAGGAGUUUAGUUUAAUGCCAGGUGUCUCACAUUCUAGAUGUUCUGGGGCCAGAUUUUUCCUGUUGAAGGUAGCAAGGGUUUUGCCUUUGGCACUUCUGGGAGCUGAAGUGCGCCUUGCACGUAAAGAGACAGGAUUCCCUGUACUUUCUAUUCAAUGCACAAAACCAGAAGCAACAGGCUCAUUUAGUAUCAGUAAAGGUCAGUUAAAAUUAUAGAGACAUCCUUUGGAGCAAAUCCUCUGUCUUGCAUUUGCAUAUUUAUGAAUUAGAGAUUACGACAGGCUAUUUCAUUUAUUAGAGCAGCACUGCUAUAGUUAAUAGUCUGUCAGUACUUCCAUUAUAAACCCCGUUUUUCAGUGUUUAAUAUCUCAGCCAUUUAAAAUCACAUCAGGAAGCAAGUCAGUCUUAUGUUGCUGGCCAGGUGCAAUUUUUUGUUAUGGAUUACUUUCAAUAAUGAAAUACUGCUUAUCAUAUAUGCAGAUGAGCCACAGCAUUUCUGUUGGAGGGACAUAGCAAGGUGUGUAGUUUCAUUGUGGUUUUGUUUUUCUUUACGAAAGAAGGGAAAAGAGGGAUUUG
rnacentral:lncRNA from 1 species